AAAUUGAAGAGUUUGAUCAUGGCUCAGAUUGAACGCUGGCGGCAGGCCUAACACAUGCAAGUCGAGCGGAAACGAGAUGUCU
rnacentral:rRNA from 1 species